rnacentral:rRNA from 1 species
GACGAACGCUGGCGGCGUGCUUAACACAUGCAAGUCGAACGCUGAAGCUCAGCUUUUGUUGGGUGGAUGAGUGGCGAACGGGUGAGUAACACGUGAGUAACCUGCCUCCUUCUUUGGGAUAACGCCCGGAAACGGGUGCUAAUACUGGAUAUUCACUGGUCUUCGCAUGGGGGUUGGUGGAAAGGGUUUUUCUGGUGGGGGAUGGGCUCGCGGCCUAUCAGCUUGUUGGUGGGGUGAUGGCCUACCAAGGCUUUGACGGGUAGCCGGCCUGAGAGGGUGACCGGGCACAUUGGGACUGAGAUACGGCCCAGACUACUACGGGAGGCAGCAGUGGGGAAUAUUGCACAAUGGGCGAAAGCCUGAUGCAGCGACGCCGCGUGAGGGAUGGAGGCCUUCGGGUUGUGAACCUCUUUCGCUCAUGGUCAAGCCGCAACAAUGGUUGUGGUGAGGGUAGUGGGUAAAGAAGCGCCGGCUAACUACGUG